UGCUGCUGCUUCUGUUCCGCACCGUGGAUUGUGGCGUCCGCUUUCGUGGAGCGACGACUCCGGGUGGCACGCCGGGCCGGAUGGGUUCGGGCUUACAGCGCGGUGUGAGGCAGCACGGCGCGUGUGGAUCGAUGGCAAUCCUUUCAAGGGCGCUGGAGUCGGAUCGAAAUAGAUUUGCGGUUUACGGGCCGAAGUGGAGGAACACGCUGCUAGAGCCAGGCCAGGAUCGCGCCGGCUGCGACGAAUGGGAACGGAUCCUUUUGCGAGCAGCUAUGUACGGGAGCUGACUGGCACGGCGGCAACCGCGCGCCGCUGAAGAUUCUGCUUUGGGAGGAGUGCGGAGAGGCUCAGAGUGGCGGGAGAGGGCGUAUCUGCUGACGGUGUUGAGUGUGGGGCUUUACUGCCGAAGCAUCUGAGAUUGCGCGCGGGCUGUAAUGCCAUCGAUUGCUGCAGAGCCGUUAGGUAUACGAAAUACUUUGUAGAGGGAGAUAAAGUAUUGACGACUGCCGCGUCUGCGACUGUGAAUGUCAUUAUCGGCGAAUGGCGAUUUUGUCGUUCUUUGGGACGUCCUUUCUUGUAAGUCGUAUUGCGAUGUAUACGGAGUGAGAAGAGACGAGGAGACCGAAAAGAAAUAAAGCUGGGUGCCCGAUUUUGUUCCACUAUAGAGCGUGUGAAAGAUUCAAAACGCCGAGAUGAUACAUUGUAGCAAUCGAUAUAUCGUGUAUCGAACGCUGACCUGUGUCCGAAGAACGCACGACUGCCGCGUUGUCCAGUAGAUUACAACAAAGAAGUGCGCAUAAGUUGACAAGUUAACGCAGGAUCGCUUGCAAACCGACGCAGAAGACUAAAAGGUUGUUGGGAUCGCCUACAACACUGCAUAAUGAUAUGCCUGCGAGCAUGCGCCGGCUGCAGGCUUAUCGUACGAACACUCACGCGGUGUCACAAGCACUGGUACGAUAGCGUGAUCGUUGAUGCUUUAUAAGCAACCCAUGGAACAAUUAAUGAGAGGGAUUGCUAUGGACCGCUGUCGAAAUGUACUACGUGUGUGCGGCGUGCUUCCCGUAUGGGGCUGCAGGUUUAGCUUGAUCGUGCCCACGUUUUGACAUUUGGUUUAGAUGUUCGCAUUUGACACUUUUAACUGUCUGCUAAUAUGUUCUUUAGUUUGCUUUUAUUUUGAUUAAACGUUAUUUUGUUUCGUGCGCCACCUUUCCCUGCUCGUGAAGGUUUGCUCACUGACCUUAUUACGAAGCAACCCGCUUCAAGGUUUCUGUUUUAAGUAAUCUUUGUGAGCAGAAUAUUUUUUUAAGCAGUCGUUAAAGUGACGCAUUUAUUUCUAUACUUCGGAUGCAUUCUUAUGUGAGUGGUCUCACUUGGUAGCGCUGCAUACUAUCCCUAUAUAGCGAUAUGCCAUAUAAUACUACUGGCAGAUUUCCAAACAAGAUGGAGCACGGCGUUUUCGUUUUUAGUUUUAGCUGAAGCUGAUAUGCGCCGACUGGCGCGAUACAAUGUGUUAUUGGGGAUGAUUUUUUUUCUUUUUUGCUUGCUGCACAGAAGAGGCAUAAACACACGGGAUAGAAGUAUACUAGGACUGGCGUGGACUAACAGCUGCAUACUUUAUUAAGAACAACAACGAUGAAAUUCAGAAAGCAAACCAUCAUCACCUACGCCACGAUGAGAUGGCACGCUCCGCCCCACGACCGACAACAUGGCCUCUGUAUAUCCGAAAAAUUCGUCACAUGCACAGCAACGAAUCGGGACCUGUGUAGUUUAGGACCAACACUCCCAAUUCUUUGUCAAGGAGGAUGAUGUGUCAGCUUCCUGCUGGACUGAAUGUUUCCAUAAGAUUAUUGAGAAAUUU